GGCACGGGUAGCCUUGGCUUUCUGCUGGUGUUAAUGUGAGUGGGUCUCUGUUGACCUGGGCAUGACUCACUAAACUGCAGGGAAGGUAACACCAAGUGCUCCUUCCCUUGGGGUGAAUGACCUGAGUUUUGGGACAGACUCUGGUCUCGAGCCAAUUAUUUUACUUGUUUGAGCCUGACUAAAAUGAGAGGAAUGGACAGGAUGGUGUCUAAGGUUCAGUGCUGCUCUGACAUUCUCAGCCUAGAGAUGUUUUUCCUGCUUACCUGCAAGCCCUGUGGUGUCCUUGCCUGGCCCUAGGAUUAUUUAUAAGCUCCAGUCUUCAUUCAUCUGUUUGCCCCUUUUUGGAUGUGAACUCUAUAACUGUGAGAUAGUACCUUCUUGUUCUUUGUGUGGCACCCUUUCAGCAGCUGGGUCUGGUAUGUCACUGGGCUGGUAGUCGAUGCUGAUUUUCAGAACAAAGAAUGACCUUUGAAUAGCCAGAGUGUUGGCUGCCAGGUCUAUAACCCGGAUUGUUUUAAUGAAAGUGCCAACAACAACAGUAUUUUUAAAAAUGGACUGUCGUUGGAGUUCAUCAGACCUUUUUAAAAAUGUCAUUCCCUUCCACUCUUAAAUCUUAUAGCCAUUUUGAGUAAUUCUUUAAAAAAAAAUCUCUAAAGAGGCCUAUUCCUUAUACAGCUGAAAAUCAUUAAUUAUUUCCUGUCCUUGCGUCAACUUCCUCUUGCCCAGAAAGGGUAGCUGAGAGUGGUUUCCUGACUUCUGGGAAGGGAAAACUUCCUUGUUCUCACCACUCUGCCCUUGGGCUCUAACCUCAAAGUGGUAGAGCAACAGCUGUACUCCGAACAAUGUUAAUGUGAACCUUUGGCUAAUGGAAGCAAAAUUUUAGGAAUAAAAGUCACUUUCAAUUAUGGCUGAUGUAAGGUGUGGUUGUGGGAAUGGGGGUAGGAAGACAGGAGUUCUGUAAGGUUUAAGUUACAGAAUUAAAAUUGUUUGAUAGAAAAAGUACAUGA
rnacentral:lncRNA from 1 species